GUUUAUUUAGAGUUAUUUAUUAUUGUUUUCUCAUAUUUUGCACUUGUUAAGUUGGUUUACUGCGAAUUUAAUAUGCAUUACUGUGGUAUUUCUCCAGUUUUCUAAGAAGGUUGGUGAUUUUGAAUUGGGAUUAUGAUGAAUUUAACCCAAAGGCAAUGUGUGUUUAUUUAUGUGGCAAAAUUCCAGGCACCAUAAAAAUUUGAGUUUCUUCCUGUUGCCCAUGGAUGAAAAUCGGUUUGCAGAAUGAAAAGAAAUUGUUCAUUCAAUGUGAUAAACUUUCUAUGAACAGUCCUCAAUAUUGUUACAUUAACUUUUAAAUAUGCACUUUACAUCUUGAGGAGCAGGCCUUUGCAGAAAUACUGAAAAGCGGGUUGCAAAACAACGCAAAAUAAAAUAAACGAAAUAUGUUUUGAGAUUAAACAUUCAAGUUGAAGGUGUGUUCUUCCUUAAACUGGAAUGAUAAUUUUGUAAUUCUGUAGGCACAUCUAUUGAGAAGUUACAACCAGUGGCAAAGUGCCUUAAGGGAAUCUAUGACAUAUAUAAUUGAAGGGACAUCUCCUCUGAAGGAAUUACAAUUAUUUGCCAGUAUGUCAAAUGAAUUUUCAACAUCAGUCAUACUUUCAUGAAUUUAUUGAUGAAAAUAAAACUAGGUACAUGAUUUA
rnacentral:lncRNA from 1 species